ensembl:lncRNA
GAAAAUGGGACAUAUAGCAUAUUCAUAACCAAAUCUGCAAUAUGCCAGCACUUGCAUUUAAAUCAAAAUCCAUAUAUAUAGUAUAUCUCUUCCUAAAUGGAACAAUGAAGUGUCCUAGUGAUGUGUAACAAAUCAGGGCUUGCCUUCAAUUUGGGAGUAAUGACAUUAUGAGACAAGGCGAUCUCCCAGGCAUUCCUGGCUUCCUUGGUUGAGAGGACAUUAUCAUAGCCAGCAGGCCCUAAAAAAGACAUCAUUAUUUUCAACAGGUUACUAAAGAAAUUAAGCACUUGUUGCAAUCAUCCUCUUAUAUAACAGGUCUUACACUGAACAUUCUGAGGAGGCUCCAGGGCCCAGCUGAGCAUCAAGUGUACAGUAGUGACUGUGUCAUCAACACCUUUUCCCAGGGCCCUCCCUAGAUGCUCCAAAUCCUCUGUCAGAUGCCUUAUCAAAAACUCACAGGGAUUCUGUACUGGAGGUCGGAUGAUCUGUGCGAUAUACUGGGACAUUCUGGGGCUGUUCUGAUGCUCCGAGCAACAUGGCCAGAUGGGUCAUCAUUCUGAGCAAUGUAAAGGGAGUCAGAGACAAGCCUUUUGUAUCCAGUGCAUCUGGGUUAUCCCGUCUCUGUGGAUCUCCUAGAAUAUGGCCUGUCUGAGUCCGAUCCCCUCUAAAAAGACACAAUUAGUGAUGAGACUAGUGAGAUGCUCAAGGUAUUUUAAGCUUUCUUUUGAACAAAAAUCUCAUUGUUUUAUUUCACAUUUUCCCCAUAAAAGCUUUGUCUCAAUUUAUUGGAUGACUCACUCUGGACGCAUUUUAUUGAAACCUUGCACGGGUUGAUGACUAAUUCCUCCCACAGUUGCUCCACACUCCAAACAUCUCCCCAUCCGAGUAGGCUUGCCACACUGCAGAAGACAGUGACCACCUUUUACCUCAAAUUCAACAUUACAGUCCACCAUAUCAUCUUAGUUAAAUAGCUGUUGAAUCCUAGACAGAUGCAAGUUAAUAAACAUUUGACUCUUUACAUUGCAUCUACUCUACACAGGCAGUGUAAAAAGAGAAAAAAAGACUUAUCAAAUGUGUUAAUUAGUGUUCACUGGCCAUUCAAACCUAUUUGUGGACAUUACUAAAUUACAUUAUUAGAAAUGUAUGGGAAAAUAUUUUAAAAGAUAUUAUAGCUCCAAACUAAAGAAAAGGAACACACAUAAAUGAAACCUCC